rnacentral:rRNA from 1 species
GAGUAAUGCCUAGAUAUCUGCCUAGUCGUGGGGGAUAACNGUUGGAAACGACUGCUAAUACCGCAUACGCCCUACGGGGGAAAGGAGGGGACCUUCGGGCCUUUCGCGAUUAGAUGAGUCUAGGUGGGAUUAGCUAGUAGGUGAGGUAAUGGCUCACCUAGGCGACGAUCCCUAGCUGUUCUGAGAGGAUGAUCAGCCACACUGGGACUGAGACACGGCCCAGACUCCUACGGGAGGCAGCAGUGGGGAAUAUUGCACAAUGGGCGAAAGCCUGAUGCANCCAUGCCGCGUGUGUGAAGAAGGCCUUCGGGUUGUAAAGCACUUUCAGCGAGGAGGAAAGGUUGUGUGUUAAUAGCACAUAGCUGUGACGUUACUCGCANAANAAGCACCGGCUAACUUCGUGCCAGCAGCCGCGGUAAUACGAGGGGUGCAAGCGUUAAUCGGAAUUACUGGGCGUAAAGCGUACGCAGGCGGUUUGUUAAGCCAGAUGUGAAAGCCCCGGGCUC